rnacentral:rRNA from 1 species
UGGGGAAUAUUGGACAAUGGGCGAAAGCCUGAUCCAGCCAUGCCGCGUGUGUGAAGAAGGUCUUCGGAUUGUAAAGCACUUUAAGUUGGGAGGAAGGGCAGUUAGCGAAUACCUUGCUGUUUUGACGUUACCGACAGAAUAAGCACCGGCUAACUCUGUGCCAGCAGCCGCGGUAAUACAGAGGGUGCAAGCGUUAAUCGGAAUUACUGGGCGUAAAGCGCGCGUAGGUGGUUCGUUAAGUUGAAUGUGAAAGCCCCGGGCUCAACCUGGGAACUGCAUCCAAAACUGGCGAGCUAGAGUAGGGCAGAGGGUGGUGGAAUUUCCUGUGUAGCGGUGAAAUGCGUAGAUAUAGGAAGGAACACCAGUGGCGAAGGCGACCACCUGGGCUCAUACUGACACUGAGGUGCGAAAGCGUGGGGAGCAAACAGG